UUGACAGCCCUGGAGACUGAUGUUCUAAUUAUCCUCAGAACAGGAGCACAUGGGCAUUUUCCUGCCAACGUGACUCAGUCUAGAGAUAGAGAGCCGGAUUCUCAGAUUAUAUGGUAGUUCUGUAUAAAGCCUUCUCCAACUGCCGUCAUU
rnacentral:sRNA from 1 species